AAAACACACAAAAAAAUAUAGGGGUGACCUUGAUCUUGAAGAACAUAUAGUGCAAAAUGGCUAGAAAGUUGAGUUCUUUAGUUGUUUUUGGCUCAAUUUUAUUUGCUUUAUUACAACAUGUUGCUAUGGCACAACAAACUCAUGUUGUUGGUGAUACUUUGGGUUGGACCGUUCCUAAUGGUGGCGCCGCCUCUUAUUCCACAUGGGCCGCCGGGAAAUCCUUUGUCGUUGGUGACAUUCUAGUAUUUAACUUUAGAAGUGGAUCACACAGUGUGGCUGAAGUAUCAAAAGGGGCUUUUGAUUCAUGCAAUACUUCAAGCCCAAUUUCAAUUUCAACAAAUGGCCCAACAAAUAUUACAUUGAGUUCUGCUGGAUCACAUUACUAUCUUUGUACUUUUCCAAGCCAUUGUACAUUGGGCCAGAAAUUGGCUAUCAACGUCUCCGGCUCCGCCUCUCCCGCUCCUCAGCCAUCCCCCGCCACUCCACCCACCGCCACCCCGGUGAUGGCUCCAGCCCCAUCCGUGUCGGUCGCUCCGGCAACGGCACCUUCACCGGCUAGUGUAGCCCAAACUUAUAUUGUUGGAGAUAAUUUGGGCUGGAGUGUUCCUACUAGUGGCCCAAAUUCUUAUCAAAGAUGGGCUAAUAACAAAUCAUUCAAAGUUGGAGAUACUCUUGUUUUCAAUUUUGUGAAUGGGACACAUAAUGUUGCAAUGGUUAGCAAGGCAUCUUAUGACUCAUGUAACACAACUUCUCCAAUAAACACAAUUAGCAAUGGUCCAGCCAGAAUUAGACUCACAAAUUCUGGUGAACAGUUCUAUAUGUGUACAUUCCCUAGACAUUGUUCAUUAGGUCAAAAACUAGCCAUCAAUGUCACCGGUUCGGACGUGACCGCCCCCACGCCUUCCACCGCGGCUACACCAUCCAGCCCCACCGUGCCAUCGAGCGAUUCGCCGGUCAAUUCACCACCAGCACCAAGUGCCUCAGCUCCAUCUUUGGUUCUUGCAACUUUGCCACUCACUUUCUUGUCAUUUGCCUUAGUUAGGUUGUUGAAUUAGAGCGUAAUACUAUAAUAUUUGAUUUUAAGACUUAUGUACCAAUA
rnacentral:misc_RNA from 1 species